rnacentral:rRNA from 1 species
AACCAGACUCCUACGGGAGGCAGCAGUGGGGAAUAUUGCACAAUGGGGGAAACCCUGAUGCAGCGACGCCGCGUGAGUGAAGAAGUAUUUCGGUAUGUAAAGCUCUAUCAGCAGGGAAGAAAAUGACGGUACCUGACUAAGAAGCUCCGGCUAAAUACGUGCCAGCAGCCGCGGUAAUACGUAUGGAGCAAGCGUUAUCCGGAUUUACUGGGUGUAAAGGGAGCGCAGGCGGCGCGCCAAGUCUGGUGUGAAACCCCGGGGCUCAACCCCGGGACUGCAUUGGAAACUGGCGGGCUGGAGUGUCGGAGGGGCAGGCGGAAUUCCUGGUGUAGCGGUGAAAUGCGUAGAUAUCAGGAGGAACACCGGUGGCGAAGGCGGCCUGCUGGACGACAACUGACGCUGAGGCUCGAAAGCGUGGGGAGCAAACAGGAUUAGAUACCCGUGUA